rnacentral:rRNA from 1 species
UGGGGAAUAUUGCACAAUGGGCGAAAGCCUGAUGCAGCAACGCCGCGUGAGUGAUGAAGGUCUUCGGAUUGUAAAGCUCUGUCUUUUGGGACGAUAAUGACGGUACCAAAGGAGGAAGCCACGGCUAACUACGUGCCAGCAGCCGCGGUAAUACGUAGGUGGCGAGCGUUGUCCGGAUUUACUGGGCGUAAAGGGUGCGUAGGCGGAUGUUUAAGUGAGAUGUGAAAUACCCGGGCUUAACUUGGGUGCUGCAUUUCAAACUGGAUAUCUAGAGUGCAGGAGAGGAGAAUGGAAUUCCUAGUGUAGCGGUGAAAUGCGUAGAGAUUAGGAAGAACACCAGUGGCGAAGGCGAUUCUCUGGACUGUAACUGACGCUGAGGCACGAAAGCGUGGGUAGCAAACAGGAUUAGAUACCCUGGUAGUCCACGCCGUAAACGAUGAGUACUAGGUGUAGGAGGUAUCGACCCCUUCUGUGCCGCAGCAAACGCAUUAAGCGCUCCGCCUGGGGAGUACGACCGCAAGGUUGAAACUCUAAAGUGAAUUGACGGGGUC